rnacentral:rRNA from 1 species
UACGUAGGGUCCGAGCGUUGUCCGGAAUUAUUGGGCGUAAAGAGCUCGUAGGCGGUUUGUCGCGUCUGCUGUGAAAUCCCGAGGCUCAACCUCGGGUCUGCAGUGGGUACGGGCAGACUGGAGUGCGGUAGGGGAGAAUGGAAUUCCUGGUGUAGCGGUGGAAUGCGCAGAUAUCAGGAGGAACACCGAUGGCGAAGGCAGUGCUCUGGGCCGUAACUGACGCUGAGGAGCGAAAGCGUGGGGAGCGAACAGG